GAUGAAGAACGUAGCGAAAUGCGAUACGUAAUGUGAAUUGCAGAUUUCAGUGAAUCAUCGAAUCUUUGAACGCACAUUGCGCCCGCCAGUAUUCUGGCGGGCAUGCCCGUUCGAGCGUCAUUUCAACCAUCAAGCGCCUCGCUUGUGUUGGGGCCCUGCGGCUGCCGCAGGCCCCUAAAUCCAGUGGCGGGCUCGUCGUCGUACCGAGUGCAGUAAACAUCCUCGCUCAGGGAACCCGACGGGUGCCGGCCGUGAAACCCCCCCUCCUCAAGGUUGACCUCGGAUCAGGUAGGAAUACCCGCUGAACUUAAGCAUAUCAAUAAGCGGAGGA
rnacentral:misc_RNA from 1 species